AUUGAACGCUGGCGGUAGGCCUAACACAUGCAAGUCGAACGGCAGCACAGUAAGAGCUUGCUCUUACGGGUGGCGAGUGGCGGACGGGUGAGGAAUACAUCGGAAUCUACUUUUUCGUGGGGGAUAACGUAGGGAAACUUACGCUAAUACCGCAUACGACCUACGUGUGAAAGCAGUGGAUCUUCGGAUCUUUCGCGAUUGAAUGAGCCGAUGUCGGAUUAGCUAGUUGGCGGGGUAACGGCCCACCAAGGCGACGAUCCGUAGCUGGUCUGAGAGGAUGAUCAGCCACACUGGAACUGAGACACGGUCCAGACUCCUACGGGAGGCAGCAGUGGGGAAUAUUGGACAAUGGGCGCAAGCCUGAUCCAGCCAUACCGCGUGGGUGAAGAAGGCCUUCGGGUUGUAAAGCCCUUUUGUUGGGAAAGAAAAGCAGCAGGUUAAUACCCCGCUGUUCUGACGGUACCCAAAGAAUAAGCACCGGCUAACUUCGUG
rnacentral:rRNA from 1 species